rnacentral:lncRNA from 1 species
AACAAUAUGAUACAUCUGACCUGCCAGCCUACCUUCUGGGGCUUUGCUUGAUGAGCUUGCAUUCUCAAUGCAUGGGACAAAAGCAAAGGGAACACUCUCUGUUUACCCCUUCUAAGGCCUGACCUUGGGUCCCUAGUCCGUAUCUUUGACCUUGUCAUCACCACCACAGGCAGCCAAUCUCAACUGGGAAAAGCAGUGAUUUAUGGCAUCAGAAACAAAAACAAAAGAAAAGUCUGAGAAACUCACAGCUAAGAGGAGCCUAAGGAGACAUCAUGGCUAAAUGUAGUGUGAGUGUGAUCUAUUGGAUGGAAUCCUGGUACAGAAAAAGAACAUUAGAGAGACAGCCUUGAGUGGAGAGUGAGGAGAUGGGAGUAACAUGUCAACUAUAUCAACAUUGAAGUGUAUAAUCAUACCAGGCCAACUAUGUGUGUGUGUGCCAGUGAGCUAUGAAGACCGACUUUAAAAAGAGUGGCAAACAACACUAUCUUACACAAACUCUUUCAGAAUACAGAAGAUACUCCCAGAUAAUUUUAUGUAAUCUUGAUAACAAAAUCUAGC